UAAAUAAAUACAGAGUAGUCCUUUUUGUUAGUUUUAUGCUUUUCAAUAAUAUGUGAAGCACUUAGCAAAUUUAACAUUUUCCUGUGGUGACUCUGGAAAGUUUUUUUGCCUGAUCACAUCAUCAUUAAAAAGGAAUUUGGUGCCUUUCCUACCUGUUUCUCCUUAAUUCUUUUUCUUACUCACAUUUUUUCUGGAGCACAUGUUAUAUUACUGUCCUUUUAGUUUUUCUGCUAAUCCUGUCCAUUUUUUCCCUGCACUGUAAUGUUGUCCUCAGUAUAACAUACCUUCCCUUUACUGUUUUCAGCUCUGUUCCAUUUCUUCCUGUUUCCUUUAGGAGUUUAUCAUAAAAUCUCCCCUGAAGUGUGUCUUAUGACAUAUUUUUUCUACUGGUAUUUUCAGGUCAUAGGGCUUUUAUUUAUUUUUUUUUAAAUAUUUUUCUGGGUAAAAUUAGGGAUAGUAGUUUACUUCCUUCUAGUUAGAAAUGAUAGUUUGCUAGUUUGUGUGUUGGAAAUAAUCUAGUACUCUGCAAUUCUAUUUAUGUAUUUCUUUUGUAAAAUGCCUUAUUUCCUGGGUUGUCAUGGCUAAUUUCUCUCUGAUUUUUCUAUGUAUGCUUUGUCUCUAAUUAUUAUCUUCUGCACAGCUUGAGUGUAUGACUGUUGUCAUUUUAUAACCUACUUCAUACGCUCUUCCUCCUCCAUAAUUUUUACGAGCCCAUGUUUCUGGGUGCAAUAAUAAGGUUCAUAGUGAUUUUCUUUCAUCACUCUAAACAGACCCUUUCAUGCUCUCCUGUCUGUAGGAAUUUUGACAAGAUUUCUGGCAUCAUUUCAGUUUGGGGUAUUUUUUUGUGGUUUGGGAUUGAUCUUAAUAGAGUUGUAUUAUUUUAGUUUUGCAUUUUUGAUACUUUGAAUUGAAAUUUCAACAAGAAUUCCAGUCUUUGUUUCUGACAGAUAAACUCAGAAAGGAGCAGCAAGAAGAAUGAAUGCUUCAGUGGUUAAUGGUCCCCAGGAAAUCUGCAUUGAAAUGCUGCAUUUAUGUGACCCCAAAUACAUUCUACAGCUAGGAUUUCUACUGUGCCAGAUCUAGGAGAGUAGAAAUUAUUACAUGACAAUCCACUUCCGUGCAGUAAGUUAGGAAGCACAAAUGGCCCCACUUGAAAGCAGGCACAGCUGUGUAGUGUAAAUCAGUACCAUUACAUCAGACCACCUGUCCACUCUAUCAUGUCUUCAGAUAUAAAUAGAGCUAUUGACCAUGUAGAAGACAUGGGUUAAACUUUGCUAUUUUCACCUUAAGUCCAAGACUGUGUGGGAAAUUCCAAAUCUGGAAAA